rnacentral:lncRNA from 1 species
AGGGAAGCUACGUUGCCUCCCUGAGGGCCUGCAGGCCUGCUGUGAUCCAGCACCGUCAUAGCCAGACACCUUUACCUUGUUUGCUCAAGAAUAUUGUGCAACAGUGGACCUUCAUGGUUUCCAAGCAGAAAAAUGCUGUUUGACCACUGAGCAAAUUCUUCUUGACUGCUUUGGAUUAAGAAUUGCUACUCUGGUGAAAUUAAGCCAAAGUGUCAUUCAGGAAGCAAGAUGUUUCGUUUGAACAGAACAUAAAUCAAAGCUGGAAGUAGGGGCUGCCUAGUCUCCCUGUUCUGAAGCCCUCUUGACUCUGUGAAUUCCAUCACCAAAUCCUUGCUUCCAGACCUCAGGAACAUGGCUUCAACAAGUCUGUCUAUGCCAAACCCAUGCUUCCCAUUGCUUUCAUUCUGAAGCUUCUAGGGCUGUUUCAAGAAUGCAAUGCAAAAUUAAAAUUUCAUGGAAUAUUAAGCAAUUCUUUCUAAUAGAAAGCCAGUAAAAUUGUCAAAUUUCAUUGAUCACCAAGCCAUGUAGAUGACUGGCCAGUUUGAAAGGUCCACACUAUGGUUUGAAUCUUCGUUUCCUCACCAAAAUCCAUGUUCAAACUUAAAACCCAUUGUGGUGAUAUUAAGAGGUGUGUUCUUUGGGAGGUGAUUAAGUCAUCUAUGGCAUUAGCACCUUAUAAAAGGGCUCAGGGAUGAAGGGAGCACCCUCUUGCCUUCCUAUCUCUUCCUCCAUGUAAGGACAUUGCUUUCCUCCUCUGGGGAGGAUGCAGCAACAAGGCGCCAUCUUGAAAGCAGAGAGCAGCCCUCAACAGACACCACUUCUACUGGCUUCUUGAUCUUGGACUCUCAGCCUCCAGAACCAUGAGAAAUAAACUUCUGUUCUUUUAUCAAUUA